rnacentral:rRNA from 1 species
AGUGAACGCUGGCGGCAGGCCUAACACAUGCAAGUCGAACGGCAGCACAGGAGAGCUUGCUCUCUGGGUGGCGAGUGGCGGACGGGUGAGGAAUGCGUCGGAAUCUGCCUAUUUGUGGGGGAUAACGUAGGGAAACUUACGCUAAUACCGCAUACGACCUACGGGUGAAAGUGGGGGACCGCAAGGCCUCACGCAGAUAGAUGAGCCGACGCCGGAUUAGCUAGUUGGCGGGGUAAAGGCCCACCAAGGCGACGAUCCGUAGCUGGUCUGAGAGGAGGAUCAGGCACACUGGAACUGAGAAACGGUCCAGACUCCUACGGGAGGCAGCAGUGGGGAAUAUUGGACAAUGGGCGCAAGCCUGAUCCAGCCAUGCCGCGUGUGUGAAGAAGGCCUUCGGGUUGUAAAGCACUUUUGUCCGGAAAGAAAAGCAUCCGGUUAAUAACCGGGUGUCAUGACGGUACCGGAAGAAUAAGCACCGGCUAACUUCGUGCCAGCAGCCGCCGUAACAC